UGGGCUUGACAUCCCGGGAAUUCCGUGGAAACAUGGAAGUGCCCUUCGGGGAACCUGGAGACAGGUGCUGCAUGGCUGUCGUCAGCUCGUGUCGUGAGAUGUUGGGUUAAGUCCCGCAACGAGCGCAACCCUCAUCCUUAGUUGCCAUCAUUAAGUUGGGCACUCUAAGGAAACUGCCGGUGUUAAACCGGAGGAAGGUGGGGAUGACGUCAAGUCCUCAUGGCCCUUAUGUCCAGGGCUACACACGUGCUACAAUGGCCGGAACAAUGGGUCGCAAUCCCGCGAGGGGGAGCUAAUCCCAAAAAGCCGGUCUUAGUUCGGAUUGGAGUCUGCAACCCGACUCCAUGAAGCUGGAAUCGCUAGUAAUCGCGUAUCAGCAUGACGCGGUGAAUACGUUCCCGGGCCU
rnacentral:rRNA from 1 species